UACGGGGGGGGCAAGCGUUGUUCGGGAUUACUGGGCGUAAAGGGCUCGUAGGCGGCCAACUAAGUCAGACGUGAAAUCCCCAGGCUCAACCUGGGAACUGCGUCUGAUACUGGAUGGCUUGAAUCCGGGAGAGGGAUGCAGAAUUCCAGGUGUAGCGGUGAAAUGCGUAGAUAUCUGGAGGAAUACCGGUGGCGAAGGCGGCAUCCUGGACCGGCAUUGACGCUGAGGAGCGAAAGCCAGGGGAGCAAACGGG
rnacentral:rRNA from 1 species